rnacentral:rRNA from 1 species
CGGUGGAUCACUCGGCUCGUGGAUCGAUGAAGAACGCAGCAAACUGCGCGUCGAAGUGUGAACUGCAGGACACAUGAUCAUCGACGUUUCUAACGCACAUUGCGGCCCA